GUAGGUGGCAAGCGUUGUCCGGAAUUAUUGGGCGUAAAGCGCGCGCAGGCGGUUCUUUAAGUCUGAUGUGAAAGCCCACGGCUCAACCGUGGAGGGUCAUUGGAAACUGGAGAACUUGAGUACAGAAGAGGAAAGCGGAAUUCCACGUGUAGCGGUGAAAUGCGUAGAGAUGUGGCGGAACACCAGUGGCGAAGGCGGCUUUCUGGUCUGUAACUGACGCUGAGGCGCGAAAGCGUGGGGAGCAAACAGGAUUAGAUACCCUGGUAGUCCACGCCGUAAACGAUGAGUGCUAAGUGUUAGGGGGUUUCCGCCCCCCUUAGUGCUGCAGCUAACGCAUUAAGCACUCCGCCUGGGAGUACGGCCGCAAGGCUG
rnacentral:rRNA from 1 species